ACAAGAUUUUUUUAUUUAAAAUGUAUGUGAUUGGUUUACAUACAACUUAGAGGAAGUGAAAACGGGAAACAGGAAAUGAUGUCCUUAUUUUCCGCUAAAAACCAUCUUCAUUCGACAGACUGAUACUUCAGGCUUCAUGGUGAGUAAUCUGAGUCAUCCGUUGUUUACUUACAUCCACCUGUGUAUUAUUCGUGCAGUUUUUAUCAUACUACAUUAAUAGCAGUCAAUUGAUGAUCAAAUUUAUGUAGUUUGAGUAGUUUUAUCUUUAGGCCUACUACGUUUUGCGCCUGCUAGCGUUAGCGUUAGCUAGCAAUUCACUAAACUUGGUGCGCCAUGCGGAGUAGGAAAAAAUUCAAUCAUUGGCGAAUUGAAAUGCAUUUCAUUCAAAGCUUUUCGGGUAGGGAUGCAAGUUAAUUAUCGCCGAUAACAGGAAAUUAUUACGUUAUUAUUACGUUACGCUGAGUGCACCUUGUGCAAAGCUGGCACAUGUUUCAGUGUCUCACCCUCUGAGGACGGAUUGGGCGGAUCCGCCCAUCAGAAUUUUUUCACAUCUGUGAAUAUCUCCGAAACGGGUUAUGUACAAGAGAUGUUUUGCACUGAGAAGCGGAGCCAUUUUCCUUUUGGCGCCAAUGUUAAAGGAUUGUGUCGUUUGUUUCGGCGCCUGGUCUAUUUUGUGCGCGAGCCGGGCAGGAAGUCAAACACUAGAGAAUUUAGUUAUCAUUAACAUGUUAGCAAUUAGCAUGUAUUUAAUUCUUAGUUAAUAUGUUAGCAUUAGCAUGUUAGCAUUAGCAUGUUAGUAAUUAACAUGUAUUUAAUUCUUAGUGGCUUCUUAGUAGCCACUAGUUUUAGCAUUGGCUGCUAAUGUUAGCAAAUAGCAUGUCUUUACAGCUAGCGCUAAUGUGCUCGCUGCUCUGCUGUCUCAGUUUGUAUAAUAUUCUUACUUGCUAAUUGUCUAGCAUCUAGCUUAGUGUUUCCAUUUCCCUUUCUAUCUGUUUCUCAGUUGUAUUGUGUAUCCUUGCGGAGAGUUUCUAACCAAAUCUCGUUAUACAAGUAUCUGUACUGUAUAAUGACAAUGGAGUUUCAUUCCAUUUCAGGUACCUGGACCUGAUCAGAGUUUUCCAUACCAAAGGUGGAGCUGCAGGAAGACAGAUCAAAGCCGUGAUGACAAAGACUUAUAAUGUAAGUAUUUUUUGGUCUAACGUAAUACACAUAUGGUUUGUUUGACUCAGCCAUAUGAGAAAGCUCCUUUGUUAACGGUUUGGAAAAGGAUAGGCACUUUCAAAAUUACUGUGUAGUGAACAGGCUCAGACCUGUGUGAACUUUAACUAUGUGGGGUGAAACCAGGUGAAUUCAGGAUGGUCAAGGAGGGAAAUGUCAGUGACUUGGCUGGCCUCAGCACAUGCGUAUUAGUCUGUCUAUGACACUGACGAGGAUGGAAUCUUGUAAUGUUUGUUUCAGAGUGAAGACAUCAAUGUGAGGCAUGAUUGUGUGCUGAGCUGUCUGAGCAUUUACCUCAAUGAAGACCUGGAUGCACUGGUCAAAGAAUAUGUGGUAAGUAUGUCAUCCUUCUGUCCUUUAUGGUAAAUGCUAUUAAUUUCUCUCCAGGUGUGCCUGAUAACAUGUGAUGUUCAUAGACAGAAGAGGUUUGCCUCUUUCCUACUGUCCUUUCUCCUCUACAUUGUAUCAAAGAACAGUUUCUUAUUUGGCUCUUUCAGAUAUUGUUACUUUUUUCAUUUACUUCACAGAUCUCUGAAUAAAAUGGGUUCCUGGUCCUGUAUUUUUUAUUUUUGUACAUUUUAAGUUAGUGUGUUUUGUUGAUUCAGUUUUCAUUGUUGCAGAUCAAAGGCUUCUUUGGAUAAAGUGCAGUCUCUUUUGUCUCCCCGGAAAUCCUUAAAUCUUAAAGGAGCUCGGAACCUUACCCUCAGAGGAGGACUAACCUAUGAACAUGACAUCGAAUGCAGUGAGGCCCAGGCAGACGUCGCAGGGACGACCAUUCGAGCUGAGAGUGAUGACCCUGAUGAACACUUUGCAGAUGUCGGUGUGGUCCUGGAAGGGGUAGAAGUUCUCCACAACCUCCAGAGUAUCAACCAUGCAUGCGUGAUGCUUUAUGGGUUGAUCUAUGCACUUCAUCUAAGCUAUCCAAAAAGCUUGAAGAAUACAUUCAAAGUUCACCAGAAGAUCCUGAUGGACCUGGAAUCGUCCAGGCCUUCCCCCAAACAGAUGGGUUGAAGAGCUACACUACCUGCUGAGUACUGUCUGUGCCUGUGUCUGGGUGAAGAGAAGAGGUUGACAUUUAUUAAAAAUAAAUUUGUUGAAUCAACAAGGUGGUCUGAUUGUAUGCAUCAUUGAGAUUGUUGAAUGGAAAAUGGAAAAAUUAAUUAAUCACUAAAAUACAUCAAUUUAAUGCAUUUUGAUUGAAAGUAUAUUUAUUAUGUAUUUCAAACACAUUAAUCA